rnacentral:rRNA from 1 species
GACGUAGGGCGCGAGCGCUGUCCGGAUUUAUUGGGCGUAAAGAGCUCGUAGGCGGCUUGUCACGUCGGAUGUGAAAGCCCGGGGCUUAACUCCGGGUCUGCAUUCGAUACGGGCUGGCUAGAGUGUGGUAGGGGAGAUCGGAAUUCCUGGUGUAGCGGUGAAAUGCGCAGAUAUCAGGAGGAACACCGGUGGCGAAGGCGGAUCUCUGGGCCAUUACUGACGCUGAGGAGCGAAAGCGUGGGGAGCGAACAGG